GACGAACGCUGGCGGCGUGCUUAACACAUGCAAGUCGAACGGAAAGGCCCUGCUUUUGUGGGGUGCUCGAGUGGCGAACGGGUGAGUAACAAGUGAGUAACCUGCCCUUGACUUUGGGAUAACUUCAGGAAACUGGGGCUAAUAACGGAUAGGAGCUCCUGCUGAAUGGUGGGGGUUGGAAAGUUUCGGCGGUUGGGGAUGGACUCGCGGCUUAUCAGCUUGUUGGUGGGGUAGUGGCUUACCAAGGCUUUGACGGGUAGCCGGCCUGAGAGGGUGACCGGCCACAUUGGGACUGAGAUACGGCCCAGACGCCUACGGGAGGCAGCAGUGGGGAAUAUUGCACAAUGGGCGGAAGCCUGAUGCAGCAACGCCGCGUGCGGGAUGACGGCCUUCGGGUUGUAAACCGCUUUCGCCUGUGACGAAGCGUGAGUGACGGUAAUGGGUAAAGAAGCACCGGCUAACUACGUG
rnacentral:rRNA from 1 species